AGAGAGAGACAUGCGCGCAUAUCAAUAAGCGGAGGAAAAGAAACUAACAAGGAUUCCCUUAGUAACGGCGAGUGAAGCGGGAAGAGCUCAAAUUUGAAUCUUCAAGGUUCUACCUUGACGAAUUGUAGUUUAUAGAAGUGUUUUCUGUUAGUGGAGUGGCAAAAGUUCUUUGGAAUAGGACAUCAUAGAGGGUGAGAAUCCCGUAUUUGGUCAUUCCUCCUAGCGUUGUGAUACACUUUCAACGAGUCGGAUUGUUUGGGAAUGCAGUCCAAAAUGGAUGGUAAAUUUCAUCUAAAGCUAAAUAUUGGCGAGAGACCGAUAGCGAACAAGUACCGUGAGGGAAAGAUGAAAAGAACUUUGAAAAGAGAGUUAAACAGUACGUGAAAUUGUCAAAAGGGAAGCGUUUGACACCAGUGUUGUUUUUCCGAAAAUCAAUUACUAAAUGAUUUGUUUUUGAGGAGUGAUGACUUCAUCGGCUUCUCCUUCUCUUUCAUGAAACUUUCUGUAAUGCACUUUUCGGUUAACAAGUCAACAUCAAUUUCUUUUGUUGUAAAAGGGUAUGAGGAAGGUGGCUUUCUUUUCGGAGAAAGUGUUUAUAGCCUCGUGCCUCUGCAAUCGGAGAGAUUGAGGUCUGCAGCGUAGAUCCUUCGGGGUUAGAUACAUUUGUGCUAAGUUAUAGCUUUUCAUAGACAACUUGUUGACUAUGUUUAGUCUUGUAGCUUACUCGCUUAUGCUAUUUUACCUACGCUUAGGAUGUUGAUAGUCACAGCGUGUAC
rnacentral:rRNA from 1 species